ensembl:lincRNA
CGACCCACUCACAUGUGGCUGUGUGUCCACGGGAGGAGAAGAGGGCUCUACUCUUUUUCAGGUCUUUAUUUCUUCAAGUAUAUUUGGCACACAAAUUUCUUUAUUAUCUUUAAACACGUGCCUGGCAAGGGAUUAUGUCCACAUAAUGAGAACACUGUGCACAUGUGGCUCUGCCCAGCCAAGCACAGCUGCCUCUGAUCUCUUGGGUGGAGGAGGAGGGCAGCAGGAUUCUGAUCUGAGUAGAAGCUCAUCUCUACCACCUGUCUCCUUAGGAAGCUCACAAGGUCACAGCUGCUCAGUCUUCAGCGUGUCCAGCUGCAAAACGGGUGCCAGAAGAUUGAGGGAUCCUGGAGGAGCACGUCCUGAGACCCCAUGGGAGUUUCCCAGUUUGCAGCGCUACCUCCGAUUCACCUAUACAAGAAGCUGAAUUUUUACGUGAGGGGUACUGGAAGUUUUCACAGGGGACGUCUUCUGUAAACACCUGUGCUUCCUGUUGUAGGACAUCUGUAGAGCCACAUUCUUCAACGUCGCCCUCUCUGCUAUGCAAGGUUCGUGCAGUUCUGGGAUCUUCUCUUAAAUGCUGAUGCUUGGUUCCGGGAGAACUCAGAGGGCUGUGCGCAUACUGGUGCCAUGGUGUGUGAGGUACCAGAGUCAGCUUCCACUCAUGCCCGCACGCUGGCAGUCACAUGGAAAGGAAGAACGGGGGACAAGCAGUGGGAACUGUAUGAUUCAGUGCUCUGGUUGUUCCUCUCCAGGACAGUAAUGGGCUAGGGGUGUGGUGGUACCGGGAGGGGAUUGGCGUUGUGAAGAGCUGUGACCUAUGCCCCCAGCUGAAAGCAGGGACCCUGUCUUCUCCCUUGAUGCCAGUGGGCAGCAUAGAAUCAAGACCAGGUCCCAAGAUUCUGUAGGUCAGAGAGCUCUGUCGCUAUCUCUGCAUUAAUGACAGAUUGCAGAGAAGUUGUGGUUCCUGGCAUGGGUGUGAGGGGCCAGAGUAUACUAAAGGAGGCAAACCCUUAGGCAACUCAACUGAUGAGAAUUGGUUUCUGGAAGUCAGCUUUGAGCCAAAGCAUUGAGUGAGCUUGAGAAUUCUCUGUGUGUUUUGACAAGGGCCACUGACUUCACACAAACCAAGCACAAGCCAAGCCCUGAAGGGCCCUGGAGAA